AGCCGCGGUAAUUCCAGCUCCAAUAGCGUAUAUUAAAGUUGUUGCAGUUAAAAAGCUCGUAGUCGGAUUUUGGCAUCACGCCGAACUGUCUGCCGAUUGGUAAGUACGGUUUGGCGGGUGCUUCCUUCCGGAGGCUCGUUCCCUUCUUCAUUGAAGGGUUCGUUGGUUCCGGGUCUUUUACUUUGAGAAAAUUAGAGUGUUCAAAGCAGGCCUAUGCUCUGAAUAGGUUAGCAUGGAAUAAUAGAAUAGGACUUUGGUUCUAUUUUGUUGGUUUCUAGGACCGAAGUAAUGAUUAAUAGGGACAGUUGGGGGCAUUCAUAUUCCAUUGUCAGAGGUGAAAUUCUUGGAUUAACGGAAGAUGAACUUCUGCGAAAGCAUCUGCCAAGGAUGUUUUCAUUGAUCAAGAACGAAAGUUAGGGGAUCGAAGACGAUCAGAUACCGUCGUAGUCUUAACCAUAAACUAUGCCGACUAGGGAUGUGGAGGCGUUAACUUUGUACGACCCUUCAUGCACCUUAUGAGAAAUCAAAGUCUAUGGGUUCCGGGGGGAGUAUGGUCGCAAGGCUGAAACUUAAAGGAAUUGACGGAAGGGCACCACCAGGAGUGGAGCCUGCGGCUUAAUUUGACUCAACACGGGGAAACUUACCAGGUCCAGACAUAGUUAGGAUUGACAGAUUGAGAGCUCUUUCUUGAUUCUAUGGGUGGUGGUGCAUGGCCGUUCUUAGUUGGUGGAGUGAUUUGUCUGGUUAAUUCCGAUAACGAACGUGACCUUAACCUGCUAAAUAGUAGUCCGAUGAUUUCUUCAUCGUGUCGACUUCUUAGAGGGACUAUCGGUGUCUAACCGAUGGAAGUUUGAGGCAAUAACAGGUCUGUGAUGCCGAGGCGAAUCGUUAAGCUGGCAGGAC
rnacentral:rRNA from 1 species